ensembl:lncRNA
GGAGUACACAUGCCAAGUGGGCCGGUAUCCCCCAGAGAACCCAGAGCCCAUUCUAGCGCCUCGAUUGGUGGGACCGGAAGUGCUGGAUGUGGGAGCAUGAGACCGACAUCCAUCCCUCUCGGGCCAUUAAAACACCCUCCUCUUCUUGAUCAUAAACUUUUUGGACAUCUUUACAAAUCUUUCACCAUCGGCUGAGCUUUAGAAUUCUUGUAUGUUUUGGAGGGCUGAGCGUCUCUGUUAGCAAUUGGGCUUCCUCUCUGAAACUGGAGCCUUUCCAGCGAAAGGAUGCGCGUCCAGCAUGUGGGCAGGCUGGCACUUUUGAUUCCAUUUGGAAAACUUCAGCGCUGCACCACAGGAACACGCGCCAAGGCAUGGCGCUCUCUAGGUAACAGUUAUGACUGGAAUUUUGUUCCUUUUCCAAGGCUGCAAGUGACUCUCAGGAUCAUGAGGUAUUUGGGAGGGCACCAUCUUGCUUUUCAGACCAGGGGUUUGUGUUUGACCUCUGGUUUGGGUUGUGAAACAGUUGAGGCCUCUGGUGCCCCAGUAGUGGGCACCCCUCCAGUUCUGAAGAUGUCAAUCUAGGUUAAGAUGUUUUACCCAGCCUUUUCCCCCUGAGAUAGGAGCUGGGCGUUGUCUGCCUGGGACUGUCAGCGUCUGUCACAUCCUUGCUCAACUUCCCAAAAGUUCUUAUGAGCUCCAGCCCCCUUCCUGUCCUCAUACUGUCUCUCUGAAGGAAGGGUUCCAUGACCAUUUGGUUCCAAUAGCCUUAGACAAAUGAACUAAUUUCUGUAAAAAGAAAAGAAAAAUGCGGGUUUGAACUUACCAGUGCUUAGCUGUGGCAACCAUAAACAGGAAUUCAGGAUUUUUUUUUCCUUCCUGAUGCUGAAGCUUUGGGACCCAUGUCGGGUCAGGCUUGCCAGGUUUUGGGGGAAAGAGGUUGCACUCCUCGUCAUAUUGACUCUGAGCUAAUUUACACUGAAGUGGCCAGUGCAUCUCGAGAUGAAAUAUAUUGUGUUUAGGGCAGCAUUAAAGCGGAAAUGAAGUCUCAGGGGACCCAAGUUAGUCUAUUAAAAUACAGCUCUAGUCUUGUUACCCUUCUUAACAAACCUUAGAGCUGCCCACAUCCUGCAGGAGAAACCCCACCUUCCUCAGAACAGCACCAAGGCCCUUGCUUUGAGUCCCAGCCCAUCUCCUUUUGCACGCAGCCCUAUGGCCUUAGCUUAGUCCUUCCUGUGGGAGCCAGGUCCUCACUGCCUCCGCCUGCUGUCACUCCCCUCUGUGUUUGCUCAUUGUACCCUCCAUGCGGAAUGCCCUCCCUGCCCGUUUCCCUCUUGGCAGACUUCCACAGAGCCAGAUAGAAGUCACCUGCUUCCACACUGCCUCCUUUGAGCCACACCGACCGACCACCUUUGAGGUUCUGGAGUCAGUUUCUAACUGAGAGAUGUUGGGAGUCUGAUGCAGUCCAGAACCUACACCACAUGCUAUGGACCUGCGACAUGUGGACACCACGUCCUGUGGACACUGGAGUCGUUCAUUUCCAUGGAAACUUGUAGGUUACUUUACAAGAGAUUGAAUGCCUACCAGCUACCAAGCUUAACCACGAGGCCUCAUAAUGAAGUGGACUUCAUGUUGUGAGCUCUAAGACCCAGAAGACCACAUGUCAGUAAUUAUAAUAUCAUACACCAAUGAACUUAAGGAGCCAUUGAUUCUAUUAAGUAAUUUUAUGUCAAGCUAAAAAGGGAAAAUGGGGCCGGGCUCAACAACUGAGAGUACAUACUGUUCUUGCAGAGGAUCUGAGCUGGGUUCCCAACACCCAUAUGGGUUGAGUCAAACCACCUGUAACUACAGCGUCAGAAGGUCCAUCCCCCUUUCUGGACUCUGCCAGCACCUGGGCUCAAAUAUACAUACGUGCUCAUGCAUGUCCGUGAACAUACACACACAUUAAAAAUAUUAAAAUGCGUGUUUUGUUUAUUUGGUUUCCUGAGACAGGGUUUCUGUGUGUAGCCCUGGCUGUUCUGGAACUUGAUCUGUAGUCUGGCCUCCACUCACAGAGAUCCUCCUGCCUCUGCCUCCUGAGUGCAGGGAUCGAAGGCAUGUGCCGCCACCAUCAGGCUAAAAUAAAAAAUUUAAAAGGAAAAUUCUGGCAAUUAAGUCAUCCAUACAGGACUAUAGGCCCAAUAUUGAAGGUGAAUUAGAGGAUGGAUUGAACCCAGGACUUUGAAGCCAGUCUGUGCAACAUAGUAUAAAGCCCUCUCUUACACAUAGAAACCAAAAUCCAAAAUCCAACCAAACCAAACAGUAACAAACACGUGGUAUCUAUGGUCACAAGCAUCCCGAUCUCAGGAGCUAAGAUAGAACAGCAAUGAAAGUAACCAUUAAAUUAUGAUCUAUUCUCUAUAUGUGGUUUUAUUUAAGUUCUUGCCAAAACUUUUCACUCGUAUGCACCGAGUGCAGGUACUCUGUAGACAUCAGGGCUACCAGGGUCUAACCUGUGCCUUGGAGGAGCUCUGGUCUGCCCGUGAUGCUCUGUCCCAGGGAAGGUUAGCAAACAGAGUAGGACAAUGUGUGGAUGAUGGAGUAAAGAUAGCCCAAGGACCAAUAUGUAGGCGUGGAGAUUAAGAAGGGGUUUGGGUACCAGGGCUUUACUGAGGAAGUGCUGUUCAGAGGUUGCAGCUACAGCCCACAGGCAGCCCCUGAAGCACAGACAGCUACACCACAAUCAGUCCCACCGGCAGCUCCUCUGGUGGGGACAGCGGUGACCUUUUAACCAUCAGCAAAGUUGCCAACCUGGUAAAAGGAACCCUGGAGAACUCCAACCCUAUGUAUGCAUGAGCUUCCCUUGCUGGGGGAAUAAAGGAAGGCAUCCUGAAAGUGCUAUAAACUGUGAUCUGCUUGGGAGACCCGGACAUGGGUUACCUGCCACCUGCCGCUGAAGAGAAGCGGGAGUGAGGUGGAGACAUCUUGGGGAACCUCAGGUUGUCUGUCUGUGGGGACAGGCUGGGAUGUUGGAUGGUCCCAGGAUCCUGAGUGUGCUAAUUGAUCUGGUUCACAGCCUCAGCUUUCUGCCGUAGGUGAUAGGAACUACUAAGGAAUCUGAUGGUUUGUGGGUCAUACAAUGUGAAUAGCCAGGAGCAAAGAGACCAGUUAGGAGGUGAGGAGAGGACAGCCUCCUCAAAUCAAAGACCUGGUGUGGGCCAGCCAUUUAAAACUCUCUUGUCUUCACUUUGCAGAGGAGCAAAUAGAAUGUUUAAGUAACCUGCUCAAAUCAAGGGCAUCCGGCUAGUUAGUGUGAGCCAGGAUUUGGAACUAGACCUGAGCAUUGGCGUAACUAAGGAUUUUGG